CCAACUGAGCCACCCAGGCACCCCUCAUACAUUCAUUUCUUAAUCAUAUCAUUGUAUUACGAAGCACAUAAUGCUCAACUAAUUCAAUUUAUUGAGAUAAGAAGUCAUUCUCUUUGGGUAGACGCUCAAAAUUUGAAGCUCUGAAGCAAUGAAGAGCUUGAGUGAGCCAACGUGGUCCAGGAGAAGGAUUCAUUUACAAGAGCAUCUGUGUAGUUCAGUGUGAUAGAAGUCAGAAGAAUGCAAUGCCAAUGGAAACUGAGAGGCUACUCUCUGGGUGUUACAGGAACUGUCCCAGCCUCUGUGCUGAACUCCCCUCUACCCUGAUGCAGUCUACAAUAGCAACCUCCUGCUCCAUUCAUCCUUCUCCAUCCUCUAUCUGCAGACACUCAGAGAUUAUAAAUUCCACCUACCAUUCCCACUGUUCAGAAAGCUAUAUCUGCAUUCCUCAGGGGAAGAGAAGAGUACAGAAGAUUCUUACCGUCACGAGUUAGGAGAAGAAGCCUAGUAUUCAAGAAAAAAUGGCAGUGUUAAGGAAGAGUGGUACUUCCUUGGGAGCACCAAGGAAGGAGAUACUAAUGUGGAUCAAAGUUGAUUAGGUGAACUUUUAAGCAUGGAAGUUAAGCCUUUGGCUUAGAGGAGAAUGGACAGGUUAGGUGAUUCUAGAGUAUACAACACCCUGGCAUCCGGCCUGAAAAUACAGACUAAAGGAACAAGGCAUGAUAGACCUGGGGUGAAGCAUGAAAUAUUAGAGCUGGUUUAAAAAUUAGCAUGACUGCAACAGAACAUCCAGAGGAGAGUAGCGAUAAAAACAAAACAAGGACAGCAAGUUCUCAAUGGCUCUUAACACUACAGUGAGGAGUUUGGUCUUUCCCCUGUUGCUAUCUGAGAUCUACCGAGAAUCUGCAGGCUGCAGAGUAACUUGAUGAGAGUUGUACUUUAAUAAACUAUUACAAUGAA